GGUUCCGUGGUGUAGUGGUUAUUACAUCUGCUUUACACGCAGAAGGCCGCAGGUUUGAUCCCGGCCGGAAUCA